GAGCGAGAACCAGUCCUUCGGGACUGGGGACAGCGGCGAACGGGUGAGUAACACGUGGGUAAUCAACCCUCGACACUGGGAUAGCCCGGGGAAACCCGGAUUAAUACCGGAUGUCCCACCUGGCUUUCGGGCCGGUUGGAAAAGGUAGCUUCGGCCUCCGGUCGGGGACGAGCCCGCGGCGGAUUAGCUUGUUGGUGGGGUAACGGCCCACCAAGGCGACGACCCGUAGCUGGUCUGAGAGGACGAUCAGCCACACUGGGACUGAGACACGGCCCAGACUCCUACGGGAGGCAGCAGUGGGGAAUCUUGCGCAAUGGGCGAAAGCCUGACGCAGCGACGCCGCGUGAGGGAAGAAGGCCUUCGGGUUGUAAACCUCUUUCAGGAGGGACGAAGCCACUCGGGUUAAUAGCCCAGAG
rnacentral:rRNA from 1 species